GAUGAACGCUAGCGACAGGCUUAACACAUGCAAGUCGAGGGGCAGCAUAAAAGUAGCAAUACUUUGGUGGCGACCGGCGCACGGGUGAGUAACGCGUAUGCAAUCUACCUAUCAGAGGGGAAUAACCCGGCGAAAGUCGGACUAAUACCGCAUAAAACAGGGGCACCGCAUGGUGAUAUUAGUUAAAGAAAUUCGCUGAUAGAUGGGCAUGCGUUCCAUUAGGUAGUUGGUGAGGUAACGGCUCACCAAGCCGACGAUGGAUAGGGGAACUGAGAGGUUGGCCCCCCACACUGGUACUGAGCCACGGACCAGACUCCUACGGGAGGCAGCAGUGAGGAAUAUUGGUCAAUGGGCGAGAGCCUGAACCAGCCAAGUCGCGUGAAGGAAGAAGGAUCUAUGGUUCGUAAACUUCUUUUGCAGGGGAAUAAAGUGCAGGACGUGUCCUGUUUUGUAUGUACCCUGAGAAUAAGGAUCGGCUAACUCCGUGCCAGCCGCCGCCGUAACAC
rnacentral:rRNA from 1 species